rnacentral:rRNA from 1 species
GUCCUUGCCGUAAACGAUGUAUACUUGAUGUAGCUAGGCUCAACCAUGGCUGUGUCGAAGCUAACGCGAUAAGUAUACCGCCUGGGGAGUACGCUCGCAAGGGUGAAACUCAAAAGAAUUGACGGGGGCCCGCACAAGCAGUGGAGCAUGUGGUUUAAUUCGAUGCAACGCGAAGAACCUUACCCAGGUUUGAAAUUCAGAGGACGAUACCAGAGAUGGUAUUUCUCGCAAGGGUCUCUGAACAGGUGCUGCAUGGCUGUCGU